rnacentral:lncRNA from 1 species
AUGUCUGCGCCCCUACGGCGGCCGCGCCGGAGCCGGGAAAGCGGGAAAGGGCAGCUGCCGCCUGCUGUAACUGGGGGGAUCUUCUGGACGGCUGAUGGGGUGGCGGGGCCGCAGGGGUCCCGGGGAGAGGAGCGCGGGGUCUGGCGGGGCGCGCGGGAGGUGGUCCCGGGAGUUGCGUGUCUCCCGAGCGCUGGCGGAGUUGAGCGGGCGGCCGCGGCGGAGAGCGGCGCUGUCGGCGGCUCAGCGGAGUCCUCGGAUGCCCCCUGGAGCUCCGGUCCGAGGGAGCUCGCCUCGUGCCCGCGCCGCGCGCGCCCCUGGGUGUGCACGUGCGCGCGCGCUCGUCCCAGCUUCGCACCCGGCCCGCGCACACCCCGGCUCGUUGCCUCUCGGUCCCCUUGUCUCGCGCCUUCUCCACCCCUAGAAGUUGCCCCGGGGCCCCUCCCGGAAGGAGAGGACGCUGUGACGGGCAGAUGUUGGGGGUCUUUUGUGCAGACACAUUCGCCGGGGGCGCUUGCUCCUGGAAGGACAGCGGCAGGACAAAGCCAGCUGGACUCGUGGGGCGCUGCUCGGAAGCGGCGGUCUCCAAUCCCGCCUGGGGUGGGGGCAUGGCUUGGGGAGCGCUGCACGGGUCUGGAGAGAGUAGAGAAAUCGCCAAAACAGAGUGACGGUGACUUGAUGAGGCUGAAGAAAGCUCAGUCUCAAUUGUGUUUCCUGCCUGUCAGCCUCUUGCCUCCUAAACGCGUACCAUUUCCACUUGAUGUCAUCAUGCAGAAGGGGGUGAAAGAGACUCGGUGACAGAUUCAG